GACGAACGCUGGCGGCGUGCUUAACACAUGCGAGUCGAACGGAAAGGCCCUGCUUUUGUGGGGUGCUCGAGUGGCGAACGGGUGAGUAACACGUGAGUAACCUGCCCUUGACUUUGGGAUAACUUCAGGAAACUGGGGCUAAUACCGGAUAGGAGCUCCUGCUGCAUGGUGGGGGUUGGAAAGUUUCGGCGGUUGGGGAUGGACUCGCGGCUUAUCAGCUUGUUGGUGGGGUAGUGGCUUACCAAGGCUUUGACGGGUAGCCGGCCUGAGAGGGUGACCGGCCACAUUGGGACUGAGAUACGGCCCAGACUCCUACGGGAGGCAGCGGUGGGGAAUAUUGCACAAUGGGCGGAAGCCUGAUGCAGCAACGCCGCGUGCGGGAUGACGGCCUUCGGGUUGUAAACCGCUUUCGCCUGUGACGAAGCGUGAGUGACGGUAAUGGGUAAAGAAGCACCGGCUAACUACGUG
rnacentral:rRNA from 1 species